rnacentral:rRNA from 1 species
GAUGAACGCUGGCGGCGUGCCUAAUACAUGCAAGUCGAGCGAACAGACGAGGAGCUUGCUCCUCUGACGUUAGCGGCGGACGGGUGAGUAACACGUGGAUAACCUACCUAUAAGACUGGGAUAACUUCGGGAAACCGGAGCUAAUACCGGAUAAUAUAUUGAACCGCAUGGUUCAAUAGUGAAAGACGGUUUUGCUGUCACUUAUAGAUGGAUCUGCGCCGCAUUAGCUAGUUGGUAAGGUAACGGCUUACCAAGGCGACGAUGCGUAGCCGACCUGAGAGGGUGAUUGGCCACACUGGAACUGAGACACGGUCCAGACUCCUACGGGAGGCAGCAGUAGGGAAUCGUCCGCAAUGGGCGAAAGCCUGACGGAGCAACGCCGCGUGAGUGAUGAAGGUCUUCGGGUCGUAAAACUCUGUUAUUAGGGAAGAACAAAUGUGUAAGUAACUAUGCACGUCUUGACGGUACCUAAUCAGAAAGCCACGGCUAACUACGUG